rnacentral:rRNA from 1 species
UACGUAGGGUGCGAGCGUUUGUCCGGAAUUAUUGGGCGUAAAGGGCUCGUAGGCGGUUUGUCGCGUCGGGAGUGAAAACCAUGGGCUUAACUCAUGGCUUGCUUCCGAUACGGGCAGACUAGAGGCAUGCAGGGGAGAACGGAAUUCCUGGUGUAGCGGUGAAAUGCGCAGAUAUCAGGAGGAACACCGGUGGCGAAGGCGGUUCUCUGGGCAUGUCCUGACGCUGAGGAGCGAAAGUGUGGGGAGCGAACAGG